GCCCUGCGUCUUUUAAACACGCGUCCAAAUAUGCACCCAAGCAUGGAAGGACUCAGCACUCUGAAAAUGUGAAGCCUACGGAUGCAAAAAGCUCCAAAGCAACAAGUAACGGCAGAGUUAUUUGGAAAAGGAGCAAGUAAAGGGUUCCUAAAACUGCAAGACAUCUGGAGGAGUGCCCAGACAGGAACUGGACUGAGGUGGGAAGAAAUGGAAAUAAAACUGUAAAAAUGGAUAGAAGAAAUGGAGGAGCAAUAUUUGGGCAAAGAAGAAGAAGCACGAAAUAACAUUUGAAGCUUUUUUUUUUCCCGGCAGAAAGCAGUAAAAACCCUGUCCUCCCCAAAACGUGGUCCUGGCUGGUGAGAUCUUGUUUCACAAAUGACGGGAAGAGGGCAGGUUACAGUCAAGGUACAGCUUGGUUUAGGAUGGUGACGUGAGAUUUGUGCACUUGGAUACUCUCCAGGGACAUCAUUGUUACCUUGGUUACAUACUUCCCAUUUUCACAUUUAAUGAAUUAAAAUAUAAUCCAAUAAUAGCAAAGUUUAAAAAAAGAGCACUUCAAAACCAGGCUUUAACAAAAUGGUUUUUUUUAACUUGAUCCUACUAAAAAUACAGGUAGAGGAUCCACCUCCUGCUCCCAGCAUAAAGAUUUCUUCCAGUAUUUUUCAAUAUAGAGUGUAAUAAUAAAAAUAAAGAUUUUGUAGGCUUCAUUCAGCCUUCAACAGCUGAAUGUUCAAUUUCAUAGA